CCUGAGGGAGAAUUGCCAAUUAAGGGAGUGGAAGACAGAUUGCCCUACAGCAAGAAGCCUGAAAUACAGAAAAAGGGCUGAGGGGAAACUCCUGUCUGGAGGAGGGAGAUACUGACUGUGCUAAGGGUGAGAGACAGAAGGACUGCUUGCAAUAAAGCCCAGCUGCUGCUGAAGAGAGGGUUGGGAUUGGUCUUUCAAAAAGCAGUUCCUUAGGUGAUUCAGGUGGGAAAAGGAGACUCCAGAAGACAUGGUGAAGAUGCUGAUAUGGGUGAAGUUCAAAUGCAUGAUAUCCUGAGAGGUGCAGAAAUGCAGCGCAUCCAUCCCUCCCACAGAAGUCAAUUACAGGGUACAUCAGGCUGUAAGUCAACUGCUACAGGUGAAAUGAAGAAGACUUCUGCUUACAGACUGUGACAGAAUCCCAGUCUUCAAAGUAUUCAAUGGAAUUUGGGAGCAAUGUGCCAUGAGACUCCAGUACUCCACCAGGGUGAGAAGUGCAGGCGGAUUUGGUGGGAGUGUGUCAGCCAUUGACUUACCGCAGUGAAGACACCAUGGAAGGACUGACAAGGCUACAACAACACUGCAAACAGUAGAUGGGACUAAGGAACUUACUGGCUGCCAUUUCCAGCAGCUCCCAUUGGCCCAGAGCAGUGAUCCACAGCCAGAUCUGUGAUCAUCCGGAUCUGUGGACCUGGAAGUAAGCACUCAGGAAACACGGCAGCUGGAGAGAAGACACUGCAUGUCAAGGACCUGGGCAUCCAGACGCAGACUGAGAUUAGUAUCUAGCAUUUAAUGUUUUAUGCUACAGAUGCCAUACGUACUUCACUUUAGCAUGAGAUUUCAGGACUACCCCAGCUCUUACCUGAUUCAGAGAGGCAUGCAAGACCUAUUUCUUUUCAUGAGACUUCCUGCAAUAAUGUCUAGAAAUCUAUCCAGUUAAUUCAAUAAAUAAAAUAAACUGAUAGCAUG